rnacentral:rRNA from 1 species
GAUGAACGCUGGCGGCGUGCCUAAUACAUGCAAGUCGAGCGAACGGACGAGAAGCUUGCUUCUCUGAUGUUAGCGGCGGACGGGUGAGUAACACGUGGAUAACCUACCUAUAAGACUGGGAUAACUUCGGGAAACCGGAGCUAAUACCGGAUGAUAUUUUGAACCGCAUGGUUCAAAAGUGAAAGACGGUCUUGCUGUCACUUAUAGAUGGAUCCGCGCUGCAUUAGCUAGUUGGUAAGGUAACGGCAUACCAAGGCAACUAUGCAUAGCCGACCUCAGAGGGUGAUCGCAGACGUGGGAAGGGAGACACACUCCAGACUGCUGCGAAAAGGAACAGUAUAAUACCUGCCGCAAAGGGCGAAAACCUGACGGAGCAACGCUGCGCGUGCAGUGACGAUACACGGAUCGUAAAACAGUGUUAUUAGGGAAAAACAUAUGUGUAAAUAACUGAGCACAUCUUGACGGUACCUAAUCAGAAAGCCACGGCUAACUACGUG